AACCUGCAAAACCUGGGCUGCCUAAGGGGAGCAUGUGAACUUAACCUCUACACCACCGGGCCGGCCCCUGGAUUUCAGUUUUUGAAUUAUGGCUGAUUGGAAAAUAUUUUUACUUUCUGGACUUUUUGAGCAGAGCAAUCUCUCCUCCUCCCAGCCUGUAAGCAGCCCUCCUACCUCCACUGACAACAACUGCGUGAAACUCUCUUUUUAUUUUUAAAGACAUGUUCGAAAAAUACAGAGAAGUCAAAAGAAGGAUAUUAGAAAAAACCAAAACUAAGAUAUACUCCUUGUUAGUACCUUGGUAUAUGCUAGUGCUGUUCAAAAGAAACAGAAAGUGAACCACAAAUAAAGUCACGUAUGUAAUUUAAACAUUUCUAGUACCCACAUUAAAAAAGGUUAAAAGAAACAGAUGAAAUGAAUUUUAGUAGUACUUUAACUUAAUAUGUACAAAAUAUCAUUUCAACAUAUAAUCGGAAUUAUUAUUAUUAUUAAUGGGAUAUUUUAUAUUCUUUCAUAUUAUCUUUGAAACUCAGCAUCUAUUUUACACGCACAGCACAUCUCACCAUGUUUCAAAUGCUCGGUAGCCAUGUGGCUAGUGCCUACUGUAUUGAACAGGGAAGGGGGUGUGUGUGUGUGUGUGUGUGUGUGUUGCGAACCUUCACUCAAAAUUUGUCUCUGAUGUUGUCCCACAGGAGGAAGCUCCAGGCUUUCCCAUCAGCUUGCCCAGAGGUGGGUGUGGGGCUGAAGGGAAGAGGCAGAGGGAGGCUCAAAAACUGUCAGCUGUCAAUCAUCAAAAAAGGAAGUCAACUCUCUCUAUAUACAUAUCUUUGUUAUAUUAAUAUCUAUCUUCUAUCUAUCUAUCUAUCUUUCUAAAAUGCAUGUAGUAUUCUUCCAGAUGAGGAAAGAUAUUCAAAACUACAUGUUAAAAAAAAUGAAGUGGGAGUGGGCAGGUAAAUUGGAAGGCACUAAAACCUUAAGACUUAGCAAAAGAAGGCUGUGUAUAUAUAUCAAAAGUGGACCGGCUUGGAGACAGACACACAACUACCCCUCCCACUAGCAAAUGUAGCCCAACCUUGCUGUUCCUUUUCCUGGAACGUUCUCCCCACUCCGUUCCCUCCUCCCCUCUCCCCCAGCUACAGGGCUUCUCUCUCACUUCCUCUUUCAGCUUUCUGUAGAAUGUCACCCGACCUCAGCUGAGGUCUUCCCUGUGCACGCUAUCUAAACGACAGGCUCCUUUGCCCUGUUAUUCUCUCUUCCCUCGCCCUGCCUCGUGUUUCUUCAAAGUGGCUACCACUUACAAGAUUUGUUAUUUUGUUUGUAGUUGAUCUCCCCCUGUGAAACUGGAAGCUCCAGUGGACAAGGGUUCAGGUUGGUUUUGUUCACGCUUGGCCCCAGCACUUAGAGAAGAGGCUGGUGCACAGCAUGUUCGAAGCACACAAGUGAACACCUCAGACCUGGGGAGACCCAAGAAUCAGACCAAGGGCCCUCGAGAGUCAACACGAGGCCUCUGACAACCUCAAAUUUAGGGCUGUUUUAUUAAAAAAGAAUAUACGAAGAAGGGAAAGACUUUAUGGUAGAAUUCAGACUAAUAAAUUAGAAAGAAUGAUGGAAAUAGGAAAUGACCAUUAGGCAAAACUUGUUGCAGGUGUGUAUCAUCAAUGCAUGCGGUAAAAUUCGUGGGUAAAAGUGUGAUGAGGAAGAGGAUCUUAACAUAGUCUCAAAGUAUCUCUCCGCCAGAUACAUCAGUCCUAAAGGGAAAGAUAGUAACUUUACAGUGGAGAAACCUGGCAGACCCCACCUGAACCAGUGAUCAAAGUUAACGUCAGCAUCCAGAGACACAUCGACUCCGUGUACCUCCUGAUACGAUGCCCUGAGAAGGGCACAAUAUCACUGGUGUGGGAUUUUUGACAAAAAUGCAGAACCCGAAUUUAAUCAUGAGGAAACAUUGGAUGAACCCUAAUUGUGGGCCAUUUUACAAAAUAACUGAUCACUACUCUUCAAAAAUGUCAAGAUAACAAAUGAUUAAGGAAGACCGGGGAACUGUCUUAGUUUUGAGGGACUAUGGGGACAUGAAAGCAGAUGCAGUGUCGGAUCCUGGAUUGGCUCCUGGGUCAGAUCAAGGACAUUGGUGGGACAAGUGGCAAAAUUUGAAUAAGGCCUAUGGAUUAGUUAAUAGUAUUGCACCCAUGUUAAUUUCCUGGUUUAGAUAAUUGUACUAUGUUUAUGGGUGCUGUUUACAUCAGGGGAAGCCAGUAAUAGCUAUAAGGGAACUCUGUAUACUGUUUUUUGCAAUUUUUUUCUAAGUCUGAAGUGCAUUCAAAAUAAAAAGUUGAAAAGAAA